rnacentral:rRNA from 1 species
GUAGGUGGCAAGCGUUGUCCGGAAUUAUUGGGCGUAAAGCGCGCGCAGGCGGUUCUUUAAGUCUGAUGUGAAAGCCCACGGCUCAACCGUGGAGGGUCAUUGGAAACUGGAGAACUUGAGUACAGAAGAGGAAAGCGGAAUUCCACGUGUAGCGGUGAAAUGCGUAGAGAUGUGGAGGAACACCAGUGGCGAAGGCGGCUUUCUGGUCUGUAACUGACGCUGAGGCGCGAAAGCGUGGGGGAGCAAACAGGAUUAGAUACCCUGGUAGUCCACGCCGUAAACGAUGAGUGCUAAGUGUUAGGGGGUUUCCGCCCCUUAGUGCUGCAGCUAACGCAUUAAGCACUCCGCCUGGGAGUACGGCUGCAAGGCUG